AGCGAACGCUGGCGGCAGGCUUAACACAUGCAAGUCGAGCGGGCACUUCGGUGUCAGCGGCAGACGGGUGAGUAACACGUGGGAACGUACCCUUUGGUUCGGAAUAACGCUGGGAAACUAGCGCUAAUACCGGAUACGCCCUUUUGGGGAAAGGCUUGCUGCCGAAGGAUCGGCCCGCGUCUGAUUAGCUAGUUGGUGGGGUAAUGGCCUACCAAGGCGACGAUCAGUAGCUGGUCUGAGAGGAUGAUCAGCCACACUGGGACUGAGACACGGCCCAGACCCCUAGGGGAGGGAGAAGGGGGGAAAAUGGAAAAAUGGGCGAAAGCCUGACCCAGCCAGGCCGGGGGAGGGAAGAAGGCCUUAGGGUUGAAAAGCUUUUUUGUCCGGGAAGAAAAUGACGGUACGGAAAAAAUAAGCCCCGGAUAACUUGGG
rnacentral:rRNA from 1 species